UUAGGGUAAGCAGUACCCUAAGCAUACUGCCUAGAAUGUGAACAGUUUUGCUGACCUGAAUAUUUUCACAUCUCAUUUCCUUUCCACCUCUUGGCUCUUAUCCAUUUUUAGGGCAACUUUUGGGGCCAUAUAAAAGCAUUAUUUUCUAGUUUUUGUCACAAGAGGUAACAACAAAAAAGAAAAGAAGAUCAUAACAAUAGAAGGGAGGAGGAUACCAUCAAUUCUGAAGAAAAGGAGCUGUUGCAGCCAUUUCUAGAAGCUUCAGGACUCAAAAUUUUGAGUUUUUAUACCUGAGUUUUUCUAUUUUUAGUCACCUUAUCAUGUUUUUCUUUAUUUUUCUAUCAAUUUUUCUUGUAAAUACCAAUAUGAGU
rnacentral:misc_RNA from 1 species